GACGAACGCUGGCGGCGUGCUUAACACAUGCAAGUCGAACGGAAAGGCCCUGCUUUUGUGGGGGGCUCGAGUGGCGAACGGGUGAGUAACACGUGAGUAACCUGCCCUUGACUUUGGGAUAACUUCAGGAAACUGGGGCUAAUACCGGAUAGGAGCUCCUGCUGCAUGGUGGGGGUUGGAAAGUUUCGGCGGUUGGGGAUGGACUCGCGGCUUAUCAGCUUGUUGGUGGGGUAGUGGCUUACCAAGGCUUUGACGGGUAGCCGGCCUGAGAGGGUGACCGGCCACAUUGGGACUGAGAUACGGCCCAGACUCCUACGGGAGGCAGCAGUGGGGAAUAUUGCACAAUGGGCGGAAGCCUGAUGCAGCAACGCCGCGUGCGGGAUGACGGCCUUCGGGUUGUAAACCGCUUUCGCCUGUGACGAAGCGUGAGUGACGGUAAUGGGUAAAGAAGCACCGGCUAGCUACGUG
rnacentral:rRNA from 1 species